rnacentral:rRNA from 1 species
GACGAACCGUCCAAACGUUAUUCGGAAUUACUGGGCUUAAAGGGUGCGUAGGCGGCGCGGAAAGUUGGGUGUGAAUCCCUCGGCUCAACCGAGGAACUGCGCUCAAUACUACCGUGCUCGAGGGAGAUAGAGGUGAGCGGAACUUAGGUGGAGCGUGAAAUGCGUUGAUAUCCUAAGGAACACCGGUGCGAAAGCGGCUCACUGGAUCUCUUCUGACGCUGAGCACGAAGCUAGGUAGCAACGG